rnacentral:misc_RNA from 1 species
GGAUUAAAGCCAUUAUCAUGACUCUCACGAAAGAGUUGUGAUGUAGUUUCACGAGCAAACUUGGUGACAAGUGAAAAUUUCUCCAAGACUUGAAUUGAAAUAUCGCGAGCAGGGUCAUGACCCUUGUGCUUUUGUCUCCCACCAUAUUCUGAAACACUAGAAGUCAUUGCAGAGGAGACCCCAUUUACCAUAUCCGAGCUAUGAAGUGAAGAGAUAGAACCAACUGAAUUGUGUAAAGGAGUCCCUUUUGCAAUGGAAACAGCCCUUGGUAGCUCCAGGGAUGACAGGCUUCGCUGAAGUGGAUCCUGGAAAUCAUUCAUGAGGAAAACAUUUGCAUCAUCUUCAGACCGCUUAAUGAGAACAUAUCGUUUCAGUGUUUGACAAAAUUCACGAACCCCUCCAUUGUAGAAGUACAGAGGCGGAAAUGCAAGCCCUGAAGACAGAACAAUAAUCACAUACUGCAAGCCAAGAGUCGGUGUGUGCCGCCGAAUUGACCUCACAUCGCUCAACGCCACAAGUUUAAUAGUAUAAAGCUUCCUAUCUUUCUCCGAAAUACCCGAGAUGGAC